CCCAGGUGGGCACAUUAUGAUACUUAAGAAACACAGUUCAUUGUUCAUAAGUAAUUAAAAAUAACUCAAAUUUCUACCUGAAGUCUCUCAAAAGAUGUUAAAAGGAAUCCAAUUUAUAAGCUAUAGCAAUACUUCCUAUCAUACACUUAUCUGCCCUCUUCAGUCUUCUCAAACUAUUCCAUUCCUCUGCAGCUCAGAGAUUCUCAUUCUCUUGAGCCAUAAUGUUAUAGAACCUCUAUUUUCUAAACCAACUCGAGU
rnacentral:lncRNA from 1 species